GUAGGGAAUUUUCGUCAAUGGGGGGAACCCUGAACGAGCAAUGCCGCGUGAGUGAAGAAGGUCUUCGGAUCGUAAAGCUCUGUUGUAAGAGAAAAAGGGCGCAUAUAGGAAAUGAUAUGCGAUUGAUGGUAUCUUACCAGAAAGCCACGGCUAACUACGUGCCAGCAGCCGCGGUAAUACGUAGGUGGCGAGCGUUAUCCGGAAUGAUUGGGCGUAAAGGGUGCGUAGGUGGCACGAUAAGUCUGGAGUAAAAGGGAGCGGCUCAACCGCUGUUGGCUCUGGAAACUGUCGAGCUAGAGAGCAGGAGAGGGCGAUGGAAUUCCAUGUGUAGCGGUAAAAUGCGUAGAUAUAUGGAGGAACACCGGUGGCGAAGGCGGUCGCCUGGCCUGCAACUGACACUGAAGCACGAAAGCGUGGGGAGCAAAUAGGA
rnacentral:rRNA from 1 species